rnacentral:rRNA from 1 species
AUUGAACGCUGGCGGCAGGCCUAACACAUGCAAGUCGAGCGGAUGAAGGGAGCUUGCUCCUGGAUUCAGCGGCGGACGGGUGAGUAAUGCCUAGGAAUCUGCCUGGUAGUGGGGGAUAACGUCCGGAAACGGGCGCUAAUACCGCAUACGUCCUGAGGGAGAAAGGGGGGGAUCUUCGGACCUCACGCUAUCUGAUGACCCUAGGUCGGAUUAGCUAGUUGGUUGGGUAAAGGCCUACCAAGGCGACGAUCCGUAACUGGUCUGAGAGGAUGAUCAGUCACACUGGAACUGAGACACGGUCCAGACUCCUACGGGAGGCAGCAGUGGGGAAUCUUGGACAAUGGGCGAAAGCCUGAUCCAGCCAUGCCGCGUGUGUGAAGAAGGUCUUCGGAUUGUAAAGCACUUUAAGUUGGGAGGAAGAGCAGUAAGUUAAUACCUUGCUGUUUUGACGUUACCAACAGAAUAAGCACCGGCUAACUACGUG